CUUACAGUUUCAGAGGUUCAUUUCAUUAUCACCAUGACAGAGAGCAUGGCAGCAUGCAGGCAGACAUGGUGCUGGAGGAACAGCUAUGAGUCCUAUAUUUUGCAGGAAACAGGAAAUCAACUGAGACACUGAGUGGUAUCCUGAGCAUUAGAAACGUUAAAGCCCACCCCCAUAGUGACACACUUCCUCUAACAAGGCCACACCCACUCCAACAAAGCCACACCGCCUAAUAGUGCCACUCCCUAUGUGAUUAUGGUUGCAAUUACAUUCACAUACCACAUGUUCCUUUUCUUUUCUUUCUUUUUUCCUCAGAGUUAAUUGUUGUUCAUGUUUCAUUUGCUUCUUCUGUUGAUCCCUGGUCAGAUCUUCCUGCCUUUCAUUCUCCAUCCUGGGUCCUUUUACUCCCUUUCCCAACCAUCCUAGAGCUGUUGGCUUUUUCACCUGAAUUCAAAGCUCUUUAGUUCAGUCACAUCCAUGGCCUCCUAUAACUUCCCUUUGCCACCAGCCAGAUAGUUCCUUCCUCCCAUUCCUCUGUGGGUAACUGGGCUUUAUUUUUAUUAUUAUUAUUUAUUUUUUGGUUCUUUCUCUCCUUUUGUGGCUUAUGCUCUUCUGGAGCUCCUCCAUGGAAUGAGCUUCCCAAGGAAGUAUGCAUGGGAGAUAAAUUGUUUAAAUCUUAUAUGUUUGAAGAUGCCUCUAUUCUGCCUCACUCUAGAUUGGCUGUUAGAUUUGGGUACAGACUUCUUAGCUACAAGGCCUCGUGUCAUAGUCUUCCAGCUUCUGGUGUUACUAGGAAGCCUGAUGCACAUCUUACUUCUUAUCCUUGUAUAAGUGUUGGGACCCAGCCCCCACGGGGUCUCUAAGAGUUGUUUUCCAGUAUAACCACAGGUACUUCCUGUUUUCUUAACUUCAUCCCCACUAGCAUCAAUAUCCUGUUGUGAACCCUUUCACCUGGGGUUUUUGUAAGUUUGUUUAUAAGGCUGCUCCACAAUAAAGGUGAGAGACAUUCUCUUAGAAAAAGACCAGGAGUCUUAUUGUUCAUCCAAAUCUCUAGGCUUUCGCCUGAUACUCGGACUUAGUGGCCAAGAGCAGCCACAAGUGGAGGUCCCACUGAGAUUGGGAAAGAAAGGGGACCUUGAGAGAUCACCCUCAGAAGGCUGGAAAGCAAAUAAGGAGUUGUGAGGGUGGAUUGCAAAAGGUACUAGAAAAUAGGUACCUCAACUCCUGAGAGAGUUGGAUUAGCAAAAGGUACUAGAAAAUAGGUACCUCAACUCCAAAGAGAGUUGGAUUGUAAAGGCACUGGAAAAGGGAUGCCUCAACUCCUAAGAGAAUUGGAUUGGAAUAGAGAUCACAGUCAAUCACACAGAGAAAGUUUAAAGAGACAAGAUACUGGUAAGAUUUCAUUUUAACUUUGGAUUAAGUAAUAAUGCCAAGAAAAGUAUUAAAGAAAUACGGGAAAUCCUCCACUGAGGAAUCCCUCCCUCUUGAGCUUUGCAUCAGCAGCCAGAUGACCCAGCAGCCUGUGCCCUUGUCCACUCCAGCCCGCUGUGGGCUCCAAUGAGCUGGCAAUGAUGUGGUGUGCACCAGCUGGCUGGAGAAAUCACCUCCUGAGAAAAAGUUGGGGCACUAUGCUUGGAAGAAGUGCUGGUUUAUUCUGCGGAGUGGUCAGAUAAAUGGUGACCCAGAUGUUCUAGAAUACUAUAAGAAUAAACACUCCAAGAAACCACUGCGAAUCAUCAGCUUAAAACUUCUGUAAGCAUUUGGAUGUAGGCCUGACCUUCAACAAAAAUGAGCUCCAAAAGAGUUUUAUGUUUGAUAUCAAGACCAAUGAGUGCACCUUCUACCUGGUGGCUGAGACAGAGGUCAACAUAAAUAGGUGGGUCCAGAGCAUCUGCCAGAUCUGCAGCUUCAGUCAGACUACAGAGAUCAGACUCGGGGCUGGAGAGAUGGCUCAGAGGUUAAGAGCACUGGCUGCUCUUACAGAGGUCCUGAGUUCAAUUACCAGCAACCACAUGGUGGCUCACAACCAUCCGUUAUGAGAUCUUGUGCCCUCUUCUGGUGUGCAGAUAUACAUGGAAGCAAAAUGUUGUAUACAUAAUAAAUAAAAUCUUUUUA
rnacentral:lncRNA from 1 species